GCUAGCGUAGCAAAGUCUGGCAAAUGCAAAAGGCUUAAGCCCUUUAAUCAGAGGUUCAAAUCCCCUCCCUAGCU
rnacentral:tRNA from 1 species